rnacentral:lncRNA from 1 species
UCCCUCUCUCCCUCCCCUCUCCCCUCUCCCAUGAGAGGACACAGCCAGAAGGAGACCGUCUGCAAGCCAAGGAGAGAAGCCUCACCAGCCAUGGAAUCUAUAGGCACCUUGAUGUUGGACUUCCAGCCUCCAGAGCUGAUUUUUCAUGGGCCGAUCUGCUGAAUUCAGCCUAGGAGCUGAGACCAACAUCUGAGUCUCUUCAGCACACAAGUUUGAAAGAAGUCCUAGCAACUUCAAGCUCAGAACUACGGGUGGCAGCAGCUCCCUCUUGACGUCGAAGCCUCCCAUUCCAGAGAGAGUCAAGGCCUGGAUCAAACAAAGCCCACAAGCACCGAUGACUGAGCUGCUGACUACCCCCAGCAUCUCCAACUCAACCUCCUCUUUCUGCCUCUACCCAAAUUUUAAAACUUUCAAACAUGGGUUUAAAAAUGGUAAUGAGUAAAGUUGCAUCCAAGUGUAUCAAAUAAAACUAAAUAUCCAUAAA